rnacentral:rRNA from 1 species
AACGAACGCUGGCGGCAUGCCUAACACAUGCAAGUCGAACGAGACCUUCGGGUCUAGUGGCGCACGGGUGCGUAACGCGUGGGAACCUGCCCUUAGGUUCGGAAUAACUCCCCGAAAGGGGUGCUAAUACCGGAUAAUGUCUUCGGACCAAAGAUUUAUCGCCUUUGGAUGGGCCCGCGUUGGAUUAGCUAGUUGGUAGGGUAAAAGCAUACCAAGGCGACGAUCCAUAGCUGGUCUGAGAGGAUGAUCAGCCGCACUGGGACUGAGACACGGCCCAGACUGCGACGGGAGGCAGCAGUGGGGAAUAUUGGACAAUGGGCGAAAGCCUGAUCCAGCAAUGCCGCGUGAGUGAUGAAGGCCUUAGGGUUGUAAAGCUCUUUUACCCGGGAUGAUAAUGACAGUACCGGGAGAAUAAGCACCGGCUAACUCCGUG